UAAGCUGUAUGCUCAGGUGAAGCAGA
rnacentral:piRNA from 1 species